UCCUGAAUGCCACAAACCAGCUUGGCUUUGGCCUGGCAAAAUCUAUCUGAAAAUAAUUUAGAGCAAAAUACUGUGAGGCUGUCUCGGGGUUUGCUUUGGUGAUUUUGGAGAAGAGUUUUUUCUGUGCUUUCCUUAGGUAAAGCCAGCCUGUGUCUGAGUGUAAUAUUCUGGAUGCUGCCAGCAGAGUUGCAAAAAUCUAAUUUUGUGUUGGAGACUGCCAGUCUGGGGUUGGAGGCAGGGCUGGGUUUUGCUGUGAGUUGUCCCUGCCCAUGAUGCUGUCUUCAGACUUUAGAAAAACGUGCCAAACUAAAUAAAACAAUUUAAGGACUACA